rnacentral:rRNA from 1 species
AGAGUUUGAUCAUGGCUCAGGACGAACGCUGGCGGCGUGCCUAAUGCAUGCAAGUCGAGCGGGCUACGAUCUUCGGAUUGUAGCUUAGCGGCGAACGGGUGAGUAACACGUAGGUGAUCUACCCUUCAGAGGAGGACAACCUCAGGAAACUGAGGCUAAACCUUCAUACGUUCACUGGUAGGGAUACUGGUGAAGAAAGAGUUACCCCUAGAGGGUAGCUGCUGAAGGAUGAGCCUGCGGCCCAUCAGGUAGUUGGUGAGGUAACGGCUCACCAAGCCGAAGACGGGUAACCGGUCUGAGAGGAUGUCCGGUCACACUGGGACUGAGACACGGCCCAGACUCCUACGGGAGGCAGCAGCAGGGAAUCUUGGGCAAUGGGCGAAAGCCUGACCCAGCGACGCCGCGUGGAGGAAGAAGUCCUUCGGGGCGUAAACUCCUGGACUGGGGGACGAGGAAGGACGGUACCCCAGUAGAAAGGGACGGCUAACUACGUGCCAGCAGCCGCGGUAAAACGUAGGUCCCGAGCGUUGUUCGGAUUCACUGGGUGUAAAGGGCGCGUAGGUGGUUGUCUGUGUCUCAUGUGAAAACUCAGGGCUCAACUCUGAGAUUGCGUGGGAAACUAGGCAGCUAGAGGACGGUAGAGGGGAGUGGAAUUCCCGGUGUAGCGGUAAAAUGCGUAGAUAUCGGGAGGAACACCGGUGGCGAAGGCGGCUCUCUGGGCCGAUCCUGACGCUGAGGCGCGAAAGCUAGGGGAGCGAACCGGAUUAGAUACCCGGGUAGUCCUAGCCGUAAACGAUGGGUGCUAGGUGUUGGGGGGUAAAGACCCUUCAGUGCCGAAGCCAACGCGAUAAGCAUCCCACCUGGGGAGUACGGCCGCAAGGUUGAAACUCAAAUGAAUUGACGG